UGCGAUUCCCCUUUUCCCUCUCCCUCUUCAGUGGCGACUCCCUUUUUCUUCUUCACCGGCGACAAUUCCGUCUCUCACUUCCUUUCCCUCUUCCUCUCCACUACCCACAUAUACAUACACAACGAGGAGAAGAAUUGAGGAUUUGGGCACGAGGAGGUGAAUGGAGGAGGCUCGAUUUGGGCGUGAGGAGGCGAACGGAGGAGGUUUGAUUUGGUUAUUUGGUAAGUUACUCUCACACCCACUGCUAUACUCACACACAUACACCCACCCACUGCUAUACUCGCACACACACAUUAUCACACACAGACCACAGUAUACACACACCCACUAUCAAUUAAUUGUCUGUGUGUGUUCAUAUGCACAUAUGGUGGAAAUCAAGAUUUUGCCACUUGUAUCUGCUUUGUUAAUUAGAUUUUUUUUAAAUCAUUAACAUGGCAUUGAGUUCUUUAGAUAUAUCUAAGCAGGUGAAUAUCACGAUUUUAUUUACCAAAUUAUGUUAUUGAUAAGGUCCAUUCAGGCUAAUUUAAUGUGGUUAUAUAUUCAGAAUGGCAUGUAUCAUCAAGUUUAUAUUCUAAAAUUGGGCUUGCUCUGCUGAAUGUUGUAUCUUUUAUUGAUGCAUCAUUACGGAUAUGUCCUGUGAUCAGAUUCUAGAAUUUUCGGGUUAGAUUAGUACUUUUUUCCUUUCAAGAUUUUUGUUUUUACCUUAAAUUUGAUUUGAGUUUAUAUAAUUUACAUUUACCAAUGUAUCUUUUAAUUUUUAUUCCUAUAUGCUAAUUUGUUACUUGUUCUCAGUAAUUUGAGAUGGAAUAAGUUGCAAGUUGUCUUGCCUAGCUGCAAUCACUCUUUAUGUAUGAAGUGUUACAGAAAUUGGUGAGCAAACUAUUCUGUUUUUUAUUUAGCUUUCUUUGGUUAUGAAAUGGGUGUUGGGCGGAUUUAUUGGCAUAGUUUUACAUAAAAUUUCUAAUGACAAUCCAUUGUUGUUUAAAACGUUAGCACUGAAUGUGAUUUGUCCCUGCUCUCUAACAACAUCUAAUUUCACAAUGUGAUUUUUUUCCUAUGCAUUACUACUUGAAGGCACGCUUUCACUUCAGCAAAAACCAGUAUACUGAUAUGAUGUUGAUUGCUAAUCUUUCGGGUGUUAUUUCACAGGUGUGCUUAAAUAACUAACAGUCUAACACGUAUUACUCCUUAACCCUUAUACCCAAGUCUCUAUAUCAUAUGGUACUUUCUCAAAUAAAAUCUUGUUUAUUAUCCUAACUCACGAAUAUUUUUGAUAUCCUGCAGCUUUUUUCAUGCCUAUGUUGGCCCCUCUUAUUGGAGAGGAGAAAUUACUUUUUAUAGGGAUCUUUGUUGCAUUUCUAAGUGAAUGUCUUGAUUAAUCUAUGGCAUAUGUGUGUGUUUGAGAGAGAGAGACUUAUUAUAAGCUUAUAAUAUAAUUUUCUAAAUUAUGUAGAUGCUAGCCUACAACAUUGCCUGGUUGGUUUGGGUAAAGCUCUUUCAACUUAAUAGGUAGCUUCCUAAUAAGACUAACUUUCAGUUUGGUGAUGAGGAGAUUAACCAACUUUUACUUGCUAGAUGUACUUGCAGUUAUUUUUUUUCCUAUCGGAAAUCAAUUUGCAAUUUAAUAUGUAAUAUAGCUCAACAUUUUGAUAACCUGCAGAUUCCUUAUGUGGUCGCGGGGUUCUCCAUGUUUGCUAUGAUAACAUCACCAUGCGUGAGUCCUUUACAUUCAUAAUUAAAUACGAUGUAUGCAGGUUUAAUUACUUACUUCUGGUGUUGAUGACUAUUCCUCCCACUCGCGCAGUUAAGAAGCAUUGUAUCAAAACAAGUUGGUCCUAGUGAACAGGUAAUAUUUUUUGAAGAGAGCUGUAUCUUGUGGCUGAUUGGAUUCUGUUCUGCUUGAAUCACUUUUAACAGUUCCAAUUGUCAGUUUUAUUUGCACAUCCCCCUCCUCUCUUUAAGACUAAGUUGAUUAUGUUGGUUUUCUGUUCUCUUACUAGUUAUCAGUGAAUCUAUUGAUAUAAUUUCUCAUAAUAUAGGGAAUGGCUUAAGGAUGUGUAUCGGGCAUAAUUUCCUUGGCCAACAUCAUCUUUCCACUAGUAUUUAGUCCUCUUACAGGUAAUGAAGACUGAUAAGAACAAUCUUGUUUCAGUUUUAUACAUGAAAAUAGAAAGUGUAAACUUAAUUUUGAACUAACAACUACUCUCUGCUUCCACCAUAUUUCCUCUCUGAUGGAGCUCCAUUCCAUUUCCCUGGUUAUAGUAUCAUGUGACUUGCUUACGUAAGAAGAUCUUCCCUGUAUCAUUGAUGCUAAAUUCCUUAUUUCCAUACAGAUUAUUGUUUUUUUUCAAACACUUGGGCUACUCACAAUAACAAAUUUGUACCCAAAAUCCAAAGAUAAAAAACCCCAUGGUAGCUCAACUGGUGAAGGCCUACAAAAAAAUAUUUUACUGGUCUUUGGGGUAGGGCCCCGAGUAAAUUACUUAUACAGGAGUGUGGGGACUGAGAGCAAUGCCACAUAAGACCCAAAAACUGUAAUAAAAAAUUAGAUGAUAAACUUUAGAGCUUCUUGAACACAGAUCAUAAAAAGCUUCAUCUUUAAAGAUCAGUUUAAAUAGUAUGGGUGUAGAUAUAUAUCAUCUCUUACUUCACAUGUUUUUUCACUAUUUUUAUCUUGAUCUUGUUCUUCUUCUUCACUGCUGAUGAAAACUACCUAAUAAAUCACAACAUUUGCAAUUCAGUUAAUAGCUUUCAUACCUUAUUCUUUGUUUAAUGGUUGUGUCGGGUAGAUCCAUUUCUAUAUUUGGUUGGAGAUUACAAAUUACGGACUGUUGACACUGAAUUUGACCAUUGUAAGAUUAUUUAUAGAUCCAAGGAAGAUGAUAAUACUGCUUUGAAGUAUCUUUCCAAAAUAGAAUUCACCGAGGCCCAAACCAAGGAAACAAAUUUGAUUACAGGAUUAGAUGAUAACAUUUUUUUCUUUAUUUUUCUAUUGUGGAAACAAAUUUGAUUACAGGAUUAGAGUUUUAGGUUCAUUUGCUUAUCAUAUUACCAUGCAGUACAACUUUCUCAUCUUUCUUAUGGAUAGAUCUUGAUUCAUUGUAUUGUGAUUCACUUGUUUUCUUCUGUUGCUUAAGCUAUCUCCAUCUGCUGUUUUGUUCUUGCAGUGCCUCACGUUGGUGGAUUAUUAUGCUCCUCUUUUCUUUUUUGAGAUUUCCUCGGUACAACCUAGAGAGUUCUGUCGAUAGGUCAAUCUCUGUGAACAAGUGGCUUUAAUUUCGUUGAAGUUAAAAGAUCCUGACACACUGGUAUGUUCUUGCAUCAUCAUCUGGUCAUAGAAAUUCUGCUUGUCUUUGUGUAUUGAUUUUGGCAUUAAGUGCCUCUGGUGACCUAUUUGCUUUAUUUUUUUGACUUUGCUAUUAUUUUUAAAUAUAUGCAGGAAGACUGCUUCUACGACCUGCCUAACAAUACUGAGUAUCAAAUUUUUGUGCUACGUUUACAGAAGACAAGGGACGAAAUUAUGAAGUGUACUCUCUCUAUAUAUGUAGAUAUAUACUUUGAUUGAAGAACUGUGGUAGCCUUAGAUGGUUAAUUGUAAAGAUAAUGAAUGAUUAUAUAGUGGAUGAUUUUAUUAAGUUAAAAAUAUUUUAGUUUUU
rnacentral:lncRNA from 1 species